rnacentral:scRNA from 1 species
AUGAUCAGUGUAACAGGCAGCUUGACCCCGAACUAAAAUAAAUUCUCAAGAAGGUUUUCCUUGAAACUGCAACAACAGAUGUGAGCAUUCUAGCAGCAUUUUGAUGAUCAUGUAUGAUAUUGCAAAAACAA